UACGUAGGGUGCGAGCGUUAAUCGGAAUUACUGGGCGUAAAGCGUGCGUAGGCGGUUCUCCAAGUCCGUUGUGAAAUCCCCGGGCUUAACCUGGGAAUGGCAGUGGAAACUAGGGGACUUGAAUCUGGCAGAGGGGGGUGGAAUUCCACGGUGUAGCAGUGAAAUGCGUAGAGAUGUGGAGGAACACCGAUGGCGAAGGCAGCCCCCUGGGCUGAGAUUGACGCUGGAGUGCACGAAAGCGUGGGGAGCAAACAGGA
rnacentral:rRNA from 1 species